rnacentral:misc_RNA from 1 species
GGUUUGAUUAUGGCUCAGAUUGAACGCUGGCGGGAUGCUUUACACAUGCAAGUCGAACGGCAGCACGGACUUCGGUCUGGUGGCGAGUGGCGAACGGGUGGGUAAUGUAUCGGAACGUGCCUAGUAGCGAGGAUAACUACGCGAAAGCGUAGCUAAUACCGCAUACCCUUCGGGGGAAAGCGGGGGACCUUCGGGCCUCGCACUAUUAGAGCGAUAUCGGAUUAGCUAGUUGGUGGGGUAACGGCUCGCAAGGCGACGAUCCGUAGCUGGUUUGAGGAGGACGACCAGCCACACUGGGAUGAGACACGGCCCAGACUU